rnacentral:tRNA from 1 species
GGCCCGGUGGUGUAGCGGUUUAACACACUGGCCUGUCAAGCCAGAGAUCACGGGUUCGAAUCCCGUCCGGGUCGCCA